rnacentral:tRNA from 1 species
UGCGGGGUAGAGCAGUUGGUAGCUCGUCGGGCUCAUAACCCGGAGGUCGCAGGUUCAAGUCCUGCCCCCGCUA